UACGGGGGGGGUAAGCGUUGUUCGGAAUUACUGGGCGUAAAGAGCUCGUAGGCGGUCUGUCGCGUCGGCUGUGAAAUCCCGAGGCUCAACCUCGGGUCUGCAGUCGAUACGGGCAAACUAGAGUAUUGCAGGGGAGACUGGAAUUCCUGGUGUAGCGGUGAAAUGCGCAGAUAUCAGGAGGAACACCGGUGGCGAAGGCGGGUCUCUGGGCAAUAACUGACGCUGAGGAGCGAAAGCGUGGGGAGCGAACAGG
rnacentral:rRNA from 1 species